rnacentral:rRNA from 2 species
CCUACGGGAGGCAGCAGUAGGGAAUCUUCGGCAAUGGGCGAAAGCCUGACCGAGCAACGCCGCGUGAGCGAUGAAGGCCUUCGGGUCGUAAAGCUCUGUUGUUAGAGAAGAACAAGUACGAGAGUAACUGCUCGUACCUUGACGGUACCUAACCAGAAAGCCACGGCUAACUACGUGCCAGCAGCCGCGGUAAUACGUAGGUGGCAAGCGUUAUCCGGAAUUAUUGGGCGUAAAGCGCGCGCAGGCGGUCUCUUAAGUCUGAUGUGAAAGCCCACGGCUCAACCGUGGAGGGUCAUUGGAAACUGGGAGACUUGAGUGCAGGAGAGAAAAGUGGAAUUCCACGUGUAGCGGUGAAAUGCGUAGAGAUGUGGAGGAACACCAGUGGCGAAGGCGGCUUUUUGGCCUGUAACUGACGCUGAGGCGCGAAAGCGUGGGGAGCAAACAGGAUUAGAUACCCUGGUAGUCCACGCCGUAAACGAUGAGUGCUAGGUGUUGGGGGGUUCCACCCUCAGUGCUGAAGUUAACACAUUAAGCACUCCGCCUGGGGAGUACGACCGCAAGGUUGAAACUCAAAGGAAUUGACGGGGGCCCGCACAAGCAGUGGAGCAUGUGGUUUAAUUCGAAGCAACGCGAAGAACCUUAC